UACGGAGGGUGCGAGCGUUGUCCGGAAUCAUUGGGCGUAAAGGGCAAGUAGGUGGUCUCAUUUGUCUAGGGUGAAAUCCUUGAGCUUAACUCAAGAAGUGCCCUAGAAACGGUGAGACUCGAGUACUGGAGAGGGUCGUGGAAUUCCCGGUGUAGCGGUGAAAUGCGCAGAUAUCAGGAGGAACACCGGUGGCGAAGGCGGGUCUCUGGACAGUUCCUGACGCUGAGGCACGAAGGUCAGGGGAGCAAACGGG
rnacentral:rRNA from 1 species